rnacentral:rRNA from 1 species
AACGAACGCUGGCGGCAUGCCUAACACAUGCAAGUCGAACGAGACCUUCGGGUCUAGUGGCGCACGGGUGCGUAACGCGUGGGAACCUGCCCUUAGGUUCGGAAUAACUCCCCGAAAGGGGUGCUAAUACCGGAUAAUGUCUUCGGACCAAAGAUUUAUCGCCUUUGGAUGGGCCCGCGUUGGAUUAGCUGGUUGGUAGGGUAAAAGCCUACCAAGGGGACGAUCCGUAGCUGGUCUGAGAGGAUGAUCCGCCACACUGGGACUGAGACACGGCCCAGACUCCUACGGGAGGCAGCAGUGGGGAAUAUUGGACAAUGGGCGAAAGCCUGAUCCAGCAAUGCCGCGUGAGUGAUGAAGGCCUUAGGGUUGUAAAGCUCUUUUACCCGGGAUGAUAAUGACAGUACCGGGAGAAUAAGCUCCGGCUAACUCCGUG